CUCCCAGCAUGACCUGGGGGAAUGGGCACGAGCUUUGGCGAGGGCCAGAGCCCAUCUCAGAAUCGGGUCCCAAAGGGAUGAGUCCAGACAAGCAGGGAGAGGGCAGUGGGCUGAGGAGAAGGUGGGGUGUGCCAUCAUUCGAGGGCAAGCUAGGCUUAGAGCCCACCUUCUUUAGACUCCCAUAUAAGCAGGAGCCUAAGGUGAGCCCACAGCUGGGCCCUCCAGCCCCAUCCUGGCAGCAGGCUAUGG